rnacentral:rRNA from 1 species
GUGGGCCUACGGGGCGCAGCAGUGAGGAAUAUUGGUCAAUGGGCGGAAGCCUGAACCAGCCACGUCGCGUGAGGGAAUAAGGCCCUACGGGUCGUAACCCUCUUUUGCCGGGGAGCAAGGGCGCGGACGUGUCCCGGCCCGGAGAGUACCCGGAGAAAAAGCAUCGGCUAACUCCGUGCCCGCAGCCGCGGUAAUACGGAGGAUGCGCGCUUUAUCCGGAUUUUUUGGGUUUAAAGGGCGCGUAGGCGGGCUUUUAAGUCAGCGGUAAAAAUUCGGGGCUCAACCCCGUCCGGCCGUUGACACUG